UACGGGGGGGGGCAAGCGUUGUUCGGAAUUACUGGGCGUAAAGCGCACGUAGGCGGAUUGUUAAGUCAGGGGUGAAAUCCUGGAGCUCAACUCCAGAACUGCCUUUGAUACUGGCGAUCUCGAGUCCGGGAGAGGUGAGUGGAACUGCGAGUGUAGGUGGAAAUUCGUAGAUAUUCGCAAGAACACCAGUGGCGAAGGCGGCUCACUGGCCCGGUACUGACGCUGAGGUGCGAAAGCGUGGGGAGCAAACAGG
rnacentral:rRNA from 1 species